UACAGGGGGUGCAAACGUUGCUCGGAAUCAUUGGGCGUAAAGCGCACGUAGGCGGUUCGUUAUGUCGGAUGUGAAAGCCCUUGGCUUAACCGAGGAAGUGCAUCCGAAACUGGCGAGCUAGAGUACUAAAGAGGAUCGCGGAAUUCCCGGUGUAGAGGUGAAAUUCGUAGAUAUCGGGAGGAACACCGGUGGCGAAGGCGGCGAUCUGGGUAGAUACUGACGCUGGAGGUGCGAAAGCGUGGGGAGCAAACAGG
rnacentral:rRNA from 1 species